rnacentral:lncRNA from 1 species
CUUGUAACAGAGUCAAAUAAAUAUGUGGAUUCCUUGCAUCGCUCUAAAGCUAAAUACGAAGCAGUUCAUUGUGUUUUGUAGGGGACGUCUCAAAUCCGUAGAGGAGAUAUAUACAUGACACGGAUACUAUUAUACUGAAUAAGCCAAGAUAGCAUUUGAUGAUCCAAAUGGGAUCACUACGAUGAUUUAAGGUCAUCAGUGAUUUCACCGUACAGUGAUAUGAUCAUCAAUAAUCUAAGAUUAUCACAUUUUAGAUCAUGGUCCAGUAGUUAAAAAUCUCUAGAUAUUCAUGCAUAUUAUAUUUGAUAUUCUAUAAAAAUCCG